AUAUUGGACAAUGGGGGGAACCCUGAUCCAGCGACGCCGCGUGAGUGAAGAAGUAUUUCGGUAUGUAAAGCUCUGUCAGCAGGGAAGAAAGAAAUGACGGUACCUGACCAAGAAGCCCCGGCUAACUACGUGCCAGCAGCCGCGGUAAUACGUAGGGGACAAGCGUUAUCCGGAAUUACUGGGUGUAAAGGGAGCGUAGACGGUGAUGCAAGUCUGGAGUGAAAGGCGGGGGCCCAACCCCCGGACUGCUCUGGAAACUGUGUAACUUGAGUGCAGGAGAGGUAAGCGGAAUUCCUAGUGUAGCGGUGAAAUGCGUAGAUAUUGGGAGGAACACCAGUGGCGAAGGCGGCUUACUGGACUGUAACUGACGUUGAGGCUCGAAAGCGUGGGGAGCAAAC
rnacentral:rRNA from 1 species